AGAGCGAACGCUGGCGGCAGGCCUAACACAUGCAAGUCGAGCGGCCGUAGCAAUACGGCAGCGGCAGACGGGAGAGUAACACGUGGGAACGCGCCCUUCGGUUCGGAAUAACUCAGGGAAACUUGGGCUAAUACCGGAUACGCCCUUACGGGGAAAGAUUUAUUGCCGAAGGAACGGCCCGCGUCCGAUUAGCUUGUUGGUGAGGUAACGGCUCACCAAGGCGACGAUCGGUAGCUGGUCUGAGAGGAUGACCAGCCUCACUGGGACUGAGACACGGCCCAGACUCCUACGGGAGGCAGCAGUGGGGAAUAUUGGACAAUGGGCGCAAGCCUGAUCCAGCCAUGCCGCGUGGGUGAUGAAGGCCCUAGGGUUGUAAAGCCCUUUCGGCGGGAAGAUAAUGACGGUACCCGCAGAAGAAGCCCCAGCUAACUUCGUGCCAGCACGCCGC
rnacentral:rRNA from 1 species